AUUACAGUAACUUGCUGUAUGUUUUGAAUUUGCAGUAAUUUACUGUUUACACAUUACAGUAGUGGUUCUGUACUUAUAAUAUACAGUAAGAAUUAUAUUUGAUUCCCAACGGUCAUCAUAGCUGCUUCAUCGUGGUUCCCUGUUUCUGUAUUUUUACUCCUUUAGUGGUUAACAUAUUUUUAAGGCAGAAAGAGAGCAUGUACUUUUGUUUUUUUCACAUCCUAGCUAACAUUAACAUGCAGUUUAUCUAGCUACGUCAUCAAGCGUGGCUUCGCUUCCAACCAGCUUUUUCCCUCCAAGUGCAGCUCUGUCUCCGUGCUGUGGGCUCACACUGCUUCAGCUCUUCAAGACAGAUUACCUUUUUUUUUUUUAACUCCCAAGCUUUUUCCCUCCAAGUGGCUGUGCAGUUCUGUCCUGCUGACUGCUAACAUAGCUUCAUCUCUUCAAAAGACAAGACAACAGGUA